UAGGGAGUUCAGAAGGGACAACAGAAGUAAUAAUCAUAACACAAUCGAGCAUUAAUUUGUAUCUGCUACGCUCAGUUUUACUGCCGACAUGCCAAACAUAUCCAGAGGCUGCAAUAGCGAACACUAGCAAAAAUAGAAUAAAGUAAAGACUUUCUCGAUUGUUUGCAGUGACCUUUUCCGAAGAAAAUACCAUGGUACGUACCAAAGAACCCUGACUUGUUUCAAAUCCGGUACGAAGAACAAUUGCAGGAACACCAUUAUCUGGAGUCUUAAGUUUGCAAAACGGCGAUUGAGUUACUUGAAGAACCCUAGUUCCUCCAAACAAAACAGCGUUUUUGUCAAGCUCAUCGACAUCAAUAACAGCUUCUUCGGGGCGCAACUCAAUAGAUUCCUUAACCAGAGGUGUAGAUUCUCCAGAAAGCAUAGCCUCAUUUACUACACAAGAACCUGAAAGUAAAAGAAGAUCACAUGGAAGCCCACUGUCUUCCUUAUUGUGAAGGACAGAUACGACAUCAUUUGGAAGCAAAUCUUCGGUAGAGAUAGGGAACCAAUGCUUAUUGCGAUAAACUUGAAUUUCAUAAGGUUUAAUGCUCAUAGUACGAAAUUCGGUCAAUGUACGUUGACGUUGCCAUACUACUGAACAUUCAAGAGCAAUAAUCAUGAAC